rnacentral:rRNA from 1 species
UGAGGAAUAUUGGUCAAUGGACGAGAGUCUGAACCAGCCAAGUAGCGUGCAGGAUGACGGCCCUAUGGGUUGUAAACUGCUUUUGUUUGGGAAUAAUCGACAUUACGUGUAAUGUUUUGCAUGUACCAUUCGAAUAAGGACCGGCUAAUUCCGUGCCAGCAGCCGCGGUAAUACGGAAGGUCCAGGCGUUAUCCCGAUUUAUUGGGUUUAAAGGGAGUGUAGGCGGUUGGUUAAGCGUGUUGUGAAAUGUAGAUGCUCAACAUCUGACUUGCAGCGCGAACUGGCUGACUUGAGUACACACAAAGUAGGCGGAAUUCAUGGUGUAGCGGUGAAAUGCUUAGAUAUCAUGACGAACUCCGAUUGCGCAGGCAGCUUACUGUAGCAUAACUGACGCUGAUGCUCGAAAGUGCGGGUAUCAAACAGG